rfam:Schistosoma margrebowiei strain Zambia genome assembly, scaffold: SMRZ_contig0000789
AUCCAGCUAACGAGUCCAGAAUAGGAUGAAAUGUGUGUCUUGGAU